rnacentral:rRNA from 1 species
AUCACAUCCUGGGGCUGAAGUAGGUCCCAAGGGUAUGGCUGUUCGCCAUUUAAAGUGGUACGCGAGCUGGGUUUAGAACGUCGUGAGACAGUUCGGUCCCUAUCUGCCGUGGGCGCUGGAGAACUGAGGGGGGCUGCUCCUAGUACGAGAGGACCGGAGUGGACGCAUCACUGGUGUUCGGGUUGUCAUGCCAAUGGCACUGCCCGGUAGCUAAAUGCGGAAGAGAUAAGUGCUGAAAGCAUCUAAGCACGAAACUUGCCCCGAGAUGAGUUCUCCCUGAGACUACAAGUCUCCUGAAGGAACGUUGAAGACGACGACGUUGAUAGGCCGGGUGUGUAAGCGCAGCGAUGCGUUGAGCUAACCGGUACUAAUGAACCGUGAGGCUUAACCUUACAACGCCGAAG